UUUCCGUAGGUGAACCUGCGGAAGGAUCAUUAUCAUGUAAUUCAGUCCCCUUGGCUGUGUUAUAUAUAUACCCACUCUGUGUACCUUCUCCUGUUGCUUCCGCUGGGUGUGUAAUUCGCCCGGCGGAAGGGUAAAAAUAACCUCUGAGUAUUGAUGAAAUCUUUGUCUGAACCGAAUAGAAAGAAAAAUGUUAAAACUUUCAGCAACGGAUCUCUUGGUUCUC
rnacentral:misc_RNA from 1 species